rnacentral:lncRNA from 1 species
UCCUACAGCGAUUUCUUCUGAAAUUUCAUCAUAACAAUUUUGCACUACUCAUUUUUCUUUCUCAAAACAUCCUUCCUACCUCUAAUAUUUUUAUCUUAUUUUUUUUAGAGUUAAUUGCAUUUCGCACCUCUACACUUGGUCUAAAACACUUUAAUAUGCAAACUUUUAGAAAUUGCAUAUCAAAACCCUCUUAGACACUUUUAAUCAAACACAUUCGGUGCAUUAUUUUCUCUCUCUACCUUUAACAUCGGCGAGGAAGGAUUACAUUCAUGUGGGGUGCUUGGCGUAGACUUGAUGGUAUUUUGCCCAAAGACACUCCUAUGGGGUGCUCGGCCUAGACCUAAUGGUUCAUGCUAAGACAUUCUGCGGGGUGCUCGGAAUAGACCUGAUGAGAACUUGAAAUAUUCCCUCCCCCUGGCGGGGCUGCCAACUCUGGUGUCCUCGGAUGACGCCGGUGCUUGGCGCUGUUAGGGUCGCUGAGGAGUCCUCGGGCUCUUUGGCGUUUGGGAAAAAUGUUGGCGUGAAUAGGGUCAGACACGUCGACGUUGACCGUGAAGGAGAAGUGAUCCAUUCGUAUGGAGGGGACCCCGGCUCCCCCCUCCCGAAAACAACGUUGGUGUAAAUGGCCAUAGCACCAACGGAGACCGUCCCGGAGUGGCCAAAUUCGCGCAUAGCGGUUCACGUUGCUUACACUACUGUGGGUUGAUUCCUUUUAGACCUUUAGGUUUUGAAGGGUUCAGCCUGAUGUAUGAGGGUUUCGUGUUGUACGUGGAGCGCAUGAGUUGUGAUUUGUAUUUCCCAGUUGGUUGGAUCCCUGUCUCGGCAGCGACCUUUUAGACCUUUGUUGGAUCCCUGUCUCGGCAGCGACAAUCGCUUGGUCUUACAUGUUCAUUAAGUCAGAGAGUUGUGAAAGAUGUCCUCAGAUGACUACAUUAACUCAACAUGAAGGUCAACCGCCUUUGACUGGCCAUUAUAAUCCCAAAGAUUGUAUGUUGUCUAUGAAGAAAUCCAGAUUUGUGAUUAUCUUAGUGAAGGCUGGGGCUGCUAUGAACCUGAUUAUUGAGGUUUUGGGAGCUCAUUUGUGAUUAUCUUGGUGAAGGCGUUGACACGGCAGUGAUAUUCUUUGUUUCUCUGUUUAUUUUUGGAUUCCUGUCUAAUGAUCCGGAGCGUAAUCCUGGCCGUGAAGAAUAAAAAGGGAGUUCUCAAUUUCCUUGCUUGAUUUUUCAAUUUUCUUAGUAUAUUUUAUCUAUUCCACAUGUUUAACUAGGAAACAUUCAAUAGGAUUGGCGAAAUUUGUAAGAGAAAUCAAAUAUAAAGUCAUCAACAAAAACAGAAAGAGAGGGAUUCGAUUGUGGGGUGCCUGGCGUAGACUUGAUGGUAUUUUGCCCAAAGACACUCCUAUGGGGUGCUCGGCCUAGACCUGAUGGUUCGUGCUUGGACAUUCUGCGGGGUGCUUGGAAUAGACCUGAUGAGAACUUGAAAUCUUCCCUCCCCCCUGGCGGGGCUGCCAACUCUGGUGUCCUCGGAUGACGCCGGUGCUUGGCGCUGCUAGGGUCGCUGAGGAGUCCUCGGGCUCUUUGGCGUUUGGGAAAAACGUUGGCGUGAAUAGGGUCAGACACGUCGACGUUGACCGUGAAGGAGAAGUGAUCCAUUCGUAUGGAGGGGACCCCGGCUCCCCCCUCCCGAAAACAACGUUGGUGUAAAUGGCCAUAGCACCAACGGAGACCGUCCCGGAGUGGCCAAAUUCGCGCAUAGCGGUUCACGUUGCUUACACUACUGUGGGUUGAUUCCUUUUAGACCUUUAGGUUUUGAAGGGUUCAGCCUGAUGUAUGAGGGUUUCGUGUUGUACGUGGAGCGCAUGAGUUGUGAUUUGUAUUUCCCAGUUGGUUGGAUCCCUGUCUCGGCAGCGAC